rnacentral:tRNA from 1 species
GGCCUGGUAGCCAAGUGGUAAGGCAGAGGACUGCAAAUCCUUUAUUCGGCGGUUCGAAUCCGCCCCAGGCCU